GGCGGCUCUUACCACAUGAGAUGG
rnacentral:siRNA from 1 species